rnacentral:lncRNA from 10 species
CUGCGAGGUGGGAAGCCGCACUAGCAGGACCUUGGCUUUGCAGAGAGUCCCUGUUUCCCUUUUUUCUUUUCUGCUCUGUAAAUUCCAUUAUUCUCACCCUUCAAAGUGUCUGUGAGCCUAGUAUUUCAUGGCCAUGUGUCAAGGACCCGGCUCUUAGCUGAACUAAGGAGAAAAUCCUACAAUACUAUCUCUUUUUUUGCUGGUACCUUCCAAGAUUCAGAGAUCCUCGAUCAACAACAACAGAAAAUGUCCUCACCAUGUUCUGAAAGCCUUCCAAAGCAUGGCAGAAUGAAGAACGAGGAGAUGGCAAACUCUACCACCAGCCUGAGGUCCCAGCUGCCCUUCUAUCCAGAAAUGUUUUCAUCUCACCACACAGAGCUUCACAUGCACCCUUUUCAAAACCCACACUAGCUUCUCGAUUUCUUGCACAACAGAAACUAAUAUGUUAGACCUUCGUAAUAAACGUUAACCCUUUAAAGAGUAUCUAAUGUUUGCCCCACAAGAACCUGUAAAAAUAUGUCCAUUUCGCACACACAGAACAAGGCUGCCUACAGAAAGAGCGAGGUGUGUGUUUUUCAGAUGAAAGAUGUCUUUCUAAAGUGCAGCAUUGUUACUACAGGCGCAUUAUAUCUGAAAUGGAUGCACUCUUGAAAGAUAAUGAAUGAUAGCACUUCCUUAUUGUUGGUACCCACCCAUCACUCUUCUUAAAAGCACGUGCUGUAUAGCAUUUGCAGUGUUCCUACAAAAGAAAAAUUUUAGAUGAUUUAAAUAGCUAACUGCUCCUAAUUGUUAUUCAGAAUAAAAGGUUGCACUUCUUAAGUGUUCCCCGCUUUUAACACUGUUUUUAGUACCUCCAUUUAAAGCCUGAAAAUAAAAUGCUUUUGCAUGUGAAAG